AUGAUGCUGAUGAGAUUCUUUCAGGUUAGAAGACUGAAGUGAUGUUACAUUUUGCUUCAUACAUUUACUUCUAAAUCUGCAGUAGGAGACUCAUCUGAACAUUAUGAUGAUGUCAUCACCACUAAAGUCCCAAAAGAUGACAUACCAGAG